rnacentral:rRNA from 1 species
GGGUUGUGAGGUUAAGCGACUAAGCGUACACGGUGGAUGCCCUGGCAGUCAGAGGCGAUGAAGGACGUGCUAAUCUGCGAAAAGCGUCGGUAAGGUGAUAUGAACCGUUAUARCCGGCGAUGUCCGAAUGGGGAAACCCAGUGCAAUU